CAAUGCACUUUAUGUCUUUACUCUGUAUGCACUCUUCAGUCUUUAAAAAUUCUGAAGAACAGCAUGGUGUUACUGCACUGCUCAUUAAACCACUGUUUCUCCGCUUCAGAGUCCACUCAUACAGUGCACUCUGUUGUGAUGCUCUGCAAGCCUCCUUUCUCCUUGGCCAGCAGGCUCCUUGUUCGUCUGGGCCAGGAGAGGGCACUAGAGGGAGAGCUAGAAGGCUGGAACUGGGGAAAGGGACUCCUAGUGCCCUAGCUCUCAGCGUCACCCUGACGAUGAUGUUUCAUCCCAGCAGCUCGGUUUGUUUUGGUCGCAGCAGCUCAUUCCGCUUUCCUGAUGGACCCGUGAGCCAGCUUCGUCAUAUCUCUUCAAAGACCAGCACCAUCAGCUUGGGAUGUCCUCUUGCCCCUUCCUCCUAGCCUCUAAAUAAACAGCAGGACAGCCAGUGCAGAGGAAGAAGCAGGGAAUCAAGCUGAGGAUGUUCCAUCUUGUGUGUGUGACCAGUCUCCACAAGUAGCUACUGGAUCGAUUGCCUCCUGAAUCAUACGGGAACCACGCAGAAAAGCAGCCUGAAGUCUUUUCUGAACAGUGUAGAAGCACUUGAAGAGUCUGAAAAACCACAUCGUCAGUGUCCACUGACCAGUGGACAAGAAGGUGGCCAAGUGGGAAUGACUUGGCACUGAUUCUUUAACAAUUCUGGAAGCUGCAAUGAGGAAUAAAUCCUCUUGUUCCUGCUUGGGAUCUGUUUGCAUGUUUGCACUUGCUCUAAUGUUAAUCUGCAUAAUAUGCUGGGCAGAAUAACCUCUUUUGCUUUCCUUUUGUCAAAAAACAUUGAGGUCCUAUUUUGCACUCAUAAAACAA